UUUCUCUAGUUUCAAACAAAAGUGUGAUCGUCAAGUGUCAACUCUGGUUGCGUCUCUUUUUAUGGAUAAUUUGCUUAAUUAAAUGCUGUUCAGCAGGUAUUAAGGCCACGCCGGCCAUCAUAACCACAAGAUAUUCCAGUUUUACCUGUGCUUGUAUUCACCUCUGUCAUCAGCAAUCAUCUCAGCAUCAUCGAUUGGAUAAACAGCAUCUCUUUUGAUUGGAUAAACUACCGAUGGCGCUGUCGGUCGAGUUAGGGAUCUUUUCUUCUCCUUUCUUUAAAUUCCCUGUGUACAUCACCCCAUAUGUGUGUGGGUUUAUUCACGAGGACGCGGGAUGCCCUUUUUUCCAUCCCGCCUGGUCGAUUCAACUAUUCUGCGGAUGGAGCUCUUGUGGAUGCCUGGCCGUAUUUCCCAGGCUUAAAGCUCGCAGCCAAACCAAAAUCUGACCUGACAAGACGACCGGCCAUCUUCCUCCUAUUUCUCGGUAACUUUUGACAGGCAGUUGGGCUCUGCUGUUAGUCCUCCUGUCCCAAACAAAACGUUGGGCUUCCACUACAUAAAAGAUGAACAAAAAGCCAAGGCCGGUCGGGCGUCCCGUAAUAUGCGUACCAAGUGUAGAAGAAUCUUCCCGUUGUCUUGUCUCGUUUCAUCACGGACUGGCGCGUACGCCGGGACAUUGGGGCGUCGCGGCGCCAAUAGUCCGUCACUCCCGAAGGCGUCCCAGAAGAACCCUUUGAGCACCGAGCCAACAAUUAGGGGGGAAAAAAUGUUUUUCUGUAGAUGAAUCAAUGGAGCAACCAACGCCAACUAAGAAACGAAGAAACGAAGAAACAAAAGAAGAAGAGAGAUGCAAUCAAAAAUCAAUAUACCUACAGACUUUUGGGAGCUGCAGGAUUUGCGAGCUAGACAAGAGAGAAAUGAUACGCCAGCAGCCCAGAUGGGAAAUGAAAUGGGGGGGGGGGGAACAAUCAGCACCCUCCUUAUUAUUUCCCUCCUUCUUUCGUUGCACCCUCUUGAAUCUCUCUCGCUAUAAUAAUUCUCUUCAUUUUUUUUGUUUUGUUUUACGAAUAAAGAGAAGAAAUUCUAUCGA